UUUUCAGACCUAUGCAAUCAUAGGCUAGGACAAUGCUUCAGGGUGGGAACACAGCAGAGCAGCUUAGCUUGUGGUGUGCCUUAGUCAUCUGGGAAGGG
rnacentral:SRP_RNA from 1 species